rnacentral:sRNA from 1 species
CUCUGCCUCUGCCUCUGCCUCUGCCUCUGCCUCUGCAGUGCUAGGAUUGAAGACGUGCCACCAUACCUGGCUGCUCUUCUCUUUCUUGCAAAAAUCAUUCUUCAUGAGGCAGGGAAGAAGAGCUCGGAGGUAGGAAGUAUAAUCAGCACAGAUGCAGCCUGGACCAAACACAAGCAACUAGGGCAACAGCAACAAGAACCAGGACCACACAAACCUAGAAUAUUCUUUGUCAGUGUCUGGAAACCAUGUUUAUAAAAAUAAAAACUCAAAGUAUAAGAAAUAAAAAAAUAUACAUUUAGAAUCUUCCUAAAAAACAAACAUUUUGACUAGACAUAGUGGCAUCUACCUACAGUGCAAUUACUUGGGGAGCGAGGGCAGAAGGGUCUCGUGAACCUGGACUCUUGGCCAGGCAGCACAGUAAGACUGUCCUAGAACAAAACAUCUGCAUAAGUUAGAACUCUAAAGCGAUGUUGACACCGUCUAUACAAGUGAAGACUCAGAGGCAUCCAUUUUGGCACUGUCUCCAGAUAACGUCUGGUAGGCUACAGCUUUGGUAACAAGGACACCUGUGGUGUACAGUGGUGCUGACAGGAAAAGACGUCACGCUCUGCAGCUGCCCGGGUCAAUGUGUCGGCCACCUGGUACCUCUAGAACCAGGCUCUCCCACUCUACCUCCAGUUGUGACUGAACUUGUAACCCUGGACAUUCAAUGAAAAGUCAAAUUCAUAAUCUGUACUUCUUGAAUAAUCUUGUUCUGGGAAAUCUGCAUAAGUAAAAAAAAAAUCCGAUUGCUAGUCCUACAGUUGGAGCUGUAAGAACCCUGGACCAUCUGUGCCUGACUCACUCCUCCCUCCCUUAUAUCCUCUGUGGGCCGGACUGCCCUGUCAGCAAUGCACCAGUCAAGAGAGAAGUUAUUUUUUACUAUUAAAACCGCUUAUCAACUGUUGCAGGAUAUUUGACCACACUGAACUCUGAGAUUAUGUUGUUUACUGGGGGAAAAACUGCUUCUAGUUGUGGUGUGGUUCAGCCUUAGCACAUACCUUUAAUCCCAAACAAUGAAGGUAAAGUUAGUUUGUGGAAGGAAACACUGUGUUUGAAAAUGAUACCUAAUUGAGGGUUAGACAAAGUGACAAAUCAGGGGAAGAUUCAACAGGAUAUGCCCAACACUCAGGAGAAGGGAGAGAAAAAGAGGCUACUUAAGAGAGAGCAGCACCGAGAGAGAAAAAAGAAGUUUGGCAGGGAAAAUUUUACACAGGCAGAUUGAAGAGAGAACAAGCUAGACGCAGGCGAAGACAGAAUGAUCCAGAGAAUGAGAAGGAGCCAGAAGGUUGGAAUAGAUUGCCAGAGAUAGUUUGAAGCAAAGAGAGAAUCCAGAGUGAAUUGGUCAGCUUGGAGAAGGAUUGGGCCAGAGCAGCUGAGUUGAACCAGCCAGCCAGAGUACAGAAAGAGUGAGCUUAUUCUGCAGUCAGUCUCAGAGGCUGGAAACAUCUAGGCUUAGAUAAGAUUGUACUGAGGCUGCAAGCUUCCAGCACUAGGUCUAGGUGAGCAGACAGAGGCAGUAAACCUGGGAGAGGACAAGAGGUGAAUCAAGUUGCAUGUAUAGCCUUGCUUCCCCUUGGUUCCACUGUAAUUACAUUUACAAUUAAUUUUCCAAGUCAGAAACAAGUCAGACUGCAAUCUGAUGCAACUGGCAUGAACUGGUCUGACCUCUCUCUGGUGGUUCAGGACUCUGCUCUAUGCACAGUAACAUCCCUGAGGUCACCUAUGCUGGCUAGUUUUAUGUCAACUUGACAAACUAGAGUCACCUGAGUGUCUGGAACCUCAACUGAGAAAAUGUCUCUAUAAGAUAGGGCCGUGGGGAAGGCUGUAGGGCUUUUUCUUAAUUAGUGAUUGAUAAGGGGAAACACAGCCCACUGUGGGUGGGCCCAUUCCUAGGCUGGUGGUCCUGGAUGCUGUAAGGGAGCAGGCUGAGCAGUGUAGUAAGCAGCGCUCCUCCAUGGCCUCUGCAGCACCUACUAUCUCCAGGUUUCUGCCCUCUUUUUUGUGCCCUGACUGCCUUCCAGGAUAAACUGUGGUAUAGAAAUGUAAGCCAAAUAGCCCGUCCUUUCCUCCUCAAGUUACUUCUCUCACGGUGUUUCACUGUUGCAGUAGGGAUCCUGAGACAGCACCCCUGGGAGAUUCUGCUCAUGCCAUGUCCAGACUUACGAGUUCCUGACCACAGGGACAGUCUCCUUGAAGGUGGGUUCGGAUAGCGGAUAGAAUGGCUCUUCUCCGUGGAUAAAUGCUUUCUUCCUUGAGUGGAUUUCCACUAUGGCAAAGGAAUGUGAGCAAGGCUGGGAGACCCACACGCCUGGCACUGAGGGAACUGAGCCGCAGUCUCAAAGUCAGCUGCACUUCUAUUUUGGCGUCUAGGCACUAGCACAGAUUUAUGCAACUCCAAAAUAGGAAGUCUACUCGGAAAGAGAGCUUUCAGAAAGAAGUGGAGCCAGAACUUCUUGAUAUCAACAAAGCUGUUGACGAAAAGCCUUCAGUAUGAAGAAAGUAAAGCCGAGGGUUUCAUGGAAGUGUCAACUUGCAUAGACGCUUUAAAACGCAGCGAGAGCUCGUGUUCGGAGUGGUUUUCUACUCAGAAAGAUCAUUUUGUAUUACAACGGAAUCAAUUACUUGACCGUAUUGAGACUUUGCUUAAAGACUAUCUCUCCCAAAUAAAAAUGUUAUAGUUUGGUUAA